rnacentral:rRNA from 1 species
UACGGAGGGUGCAAGCGUUAUCCGGGUUUACUGGGUUUAAAGGGUGCGUAGGUGGGUUGGUAAGUCAGUGGUGAAAUACUUUCGCUUAACGAAGGAACUGCCAUUGAUACUACCAGUCUUGAAUACAGUGGAGGUAGGCGGAAUGCGUCAUGUAGCGGUGAAAUGCUUAGAUAUGACGCAGAACACCAAUUGCGAAGACAGCUUGCUACACUGUUAUUGACACUGAGGCACGAAAGCGUGGGGAUCAAACAGG